GACGAACGCUGGCGGCGUGCUUAACACAUGCAAGUCGAACGGAAAGGCCCUGCUUUUGUGGGGUGCUCGAGUGGCGAACGGGUGAGUAACACGUGAGUAACCUGCCCUUGACUUUGGGAUAACUUCAGGAAACUGGGGCUCAUACCGGAUAGGAGCUCCUGCUGCAUGGUGGGGGUUGGAAAGAUUCGGCGGUUGGGGAUGGACUCGCGGCUUAUCAGCUUGUUGGUGGGGUAGUGGCUUACCAAGGCUUUGACGGGUAGCCGGCCUGAGAGGGUGACCGGCCACAUUGGGACUGAGAUACGGCCCAGACUCCUACGGGAGGCAGCAGUGGGGAAUAUUGCACAAUGGGCGGAAGCCUGAUGCAGCAACGCCGCGUGCGGGAUGACGGCCGUCGGGUUGUAAACCGCUUUCGCCUGUUACGAAGCGUGAGUGACGGUAAUGGGUAAAGAAGCACCGGCUAACUACGUG
rnacentral:rRNA from 1 species